CUCCAGACUCCUACGGGAGGCAGCAGUGGGGAAUAUUGCACAAUGGGGGAAACCCUGAUGCAGCGACGCCGCGUGAGCGAUGAAGUAUUUCGGUAUGUAAAGCUCUAUCAGCAGGGAAGAAGAUGACGGUACCUGACUAAGAAGCCCCGGCUAACUACGUGCCAGCAGCCGCGGUAAUACGUAGGGGGCAAGCGUUAUCCGGAUUUACUGGGUGUAAAGGGAGCGUAGACGGCAGUGCAAGUCCGGAGUGAAAGCCCGGGGCUCAACCCUGGGACUGCUCUGGAAACUGUAAAGCUGGAGUGCGGGAGGGGCAGGCGGAAUUCCUGGUGUAGCGGUGAAAUGCGUAGAUAUCAGGAGGAACACCGGCGGCGAAGGCGGCCUGCUGGACCGUAACUGACGUUGAGGCUCGAAAGCGUGGGGAGCAAACAGGAUUAGAUACCCGAGUACA
rnacentral:rRNA from 1 species